UGGGGAAUUUUGGACAAUGGGGGAAACCCUGAUCCAGCCAUCCCGCGUGUGCGAUGAAGGCCUUCGGGUUGUAAAGCACUUUUGGCAGGAAAGAAACGUCGCGGGUUAAUACCCCCGCNAAACUGACGGUACCUGCAGAAUAAGCACCGGCUAACUACGUGCCAGCAGCCGCGGUAAUACGUAGGGUGCAAGCGUUAAUCGGAAUUACUGGGCGUAAAGCGUGCGCAGGCGGUUCGGAAAGAAAGAUGUGAAAUCCCCAGAGCUUAACUUUGGAACUGCAUUUUUAACUACCGGGCUAGAGUGUGUCAGAGGGAGGUGGAAUUCCGCGUGUAGCAGUGAAAUGCGUAGNUAUGCGGAGGAACACCGAUGGCGAAGGCAGCCUCCUGGGAUAACACUGACGCUCAUGCACGAAAGCGUGGGGAGCAAACAGGAUUAGAUACCCUGGUAGUCCACGCCCUAAACGAUGUCAACUAGCUGUUGGGGCCUUCGGGCCUUGGUAGCGCGCUAACGCGUGAAGUUGACCGCCUGGGGAGUACGGUCGCAAGAUUAAAACUUAAAUGAAUUG
rnacentral:rRNA from 1 species